ensembl:snoRNA
CCUGCCCCAGAAGCGCUGCAGCUGUGGUUGCUGUGUCACAUGUGUGUCAGGCAGGUGGCAGAGAGGAGAGAGGCUGUGUGUAGUCUCAGAAUUCUGAUCUAUGAACAUCUGAAUGGUCAGUAGCCUAGAAUU